AGUAAGUUUCUUGUUUCUUGUUCAAUAGCAUAAGCUGACACAAUGUAAAUCCAGUAGCCAUGGGAGCAUGCAGACUACUACCGAGGCUGCUGUCAGAUGGAUUUUUUAUAUCCAGUUUUAUCAUCAUGUUGUCCUUUUAUGGAUGGGACAUGUCGCAAAGGCUGAGAGAAAAGAGGAUACAUCAGGAGAACGAGGACAGGAUGAAGUUGAUAAAUGAAAUGUGUCAUCAUGAGAAAAAAACAUUUUUACAACAAAGUCAUCACAAGCUGAACAACCUGCUUGUGGAUGACACUCAUGGUGUCAUCUACUGUUAUAUUCCCAAGGUGAAGCUGAAGCACUACACCAAGUUCAUGUUUAGCCGGGACCCAUUUAUCCGUCUCAUCUCUGCCUACCGAAAAACAAAUUUGAGCAUUUAAAUGAGCCCUUCUACAAGGACUAUGGCCGAGACAUUCUGCGUCUUUAUGGCAAACAUCUUAAUCCACCAAACACAAUGAAGGAGGCACUUGCAUCAGGCAUACGCAUUUCAUUUAACAACUUUAUUCAAUACCUGCUGGACCCACGGACUGAGCAGAGAAAUCCCUUUGAACCCCACUGGAGGCAGAUGCACCGUUUGUGUUUGUAUGGCGCCAGACCACUGACAUUAAGUGGUCUGGCUCAGAGAGACUCAUAGACACGCACACACAAAAAUACUGCCAAUGUUCACAAAAAUGUGAAUGGAUGUUAAACAUUAUUGACUGCCAAUUAAUUAAAUGUAAUUUUUACCAUAGGUUGACACUGGUUUGUUGUAUUUCUCAGGUACGAUUUAAUUGGACAUCAGGAGACUAUGCAAGAGGACACUGAAAAUCUGCUCAAGAUCUUAAAGCUGCAGGAUGACAUUAAGGUUCCCUCUGCAUAUGUCAAUGUGACUACCAACGAUUCUGUGAUGAAAUGGUUCAAAACAGUGCCUCUAGAGGACAGGAGGAAACUGUAUAAGAUCUAUGAGAAAGACUUUAAGCUCUUUGGCUACAGGAAGCCAGAUGAACUGCUAAAAGGUUGAGAUGUAUCAUCAGAUGGUGAUAGGGCUGAACAAUUUUGAAUAAAUAUCUAAUUGGCAAUUCUUGUGAAAGGAAUUGUGAUUGCAAUAUGAUUUGUGAUAUCAGAGGAAACAUAUUUAACAUGAUUACUACACUUUUCCUCUACCCAGCUCCAGCACAGCUCAUUACAUUACAUGUCAUUUAGCAGACGCUUUUAUCCAAAGCGACUUACAAGGGAAUUGAGUACAGCCUGCCAGGGGUGGAGUUGAACUUGUGACCAUGACGUCUCUGCAAACAGGGGUACUGGUCUUAAAUUAUUAAGACAAAUAUAUGUUGUAUAUACACACAACUAUACAGGGUGUCCAUAAAGUCUCUUUACAAUUUAAAACAUUUAUUACAAAGGCAGUUGAUAAGAUAUCUUAACCAAAUUUGUUCUAUUGUAAUCAGUGUUUAUCAAAGUUUGUAAUCACAUUGAAAUUGUGUGUUUCAGGUAUCCUGUUGGUGAAAGAGGUACUGUUAAAUGAAAACCUAAAAAAUGGCUACUCCUCAAGAGAAGGCACAAUGUGUAUAA